rnacentral:misc_RNA from 1 species
UUUCCGUAGGUGAACCUGCGGAAGGAUCAUUAAUGUAACAGGACCGAUGUUUUGACGUAAAACGCAUUAGAUCGGAAAGGGAGAUAUGAUAAAAACUGUGUUUAUUUACCUUUGUUGCUUUUGCGGGCAGUUAUUUACGGCGUCGGCGUUGGCUGAUUGUGGUCGCCAGAGGAGGCAAACUCUUCUAUAAGUGAUGUGUGAGUACUAUAUAAUAGUAAAAACUUUUAACAGUGAAUCUUUUGGUUAUGGCAUCGAUGGAGAACGCAGCCGAUCGGAAGA